CCUACGGGUGGCAGCAGUGAGGAAUAUUUGUCAAUGGACGAGAGUCUGAACCAGCCAAGUAGCGUGAAUGAUGACUGCCCUAUGUGUUGUAAACUUCUUUUAUAUGGGAAUAAAAUGUUCCACGUGUGGGAUUUUGUAUGUACCAUAUGAAUAAGGAUCGGCUAACUCCGUGCCAGCAGCCGCGGUAAUACGGAGGAUCCGAGCGUUAUCCGGAUUUAUUGGGUUUAAAGGGAGCGUAGGUGGAUUGUUAAGUCAGUUGUGAAAGUUUGCGGCUCAACCGUAAAAUUGCAGUUGAAACUGGCAGUCUUGAGUACAGUAGAGGUGGGCGGAAUUCGUGGUGUAGCGGUGAAAUGCUUAGAUAUCACGAAGAACUCCGAUUGCGAAGGCAGUUCACUGGACUGCAACUGACACUGAGGCUCGAAAGUGUGGGUAUCAAACAGGAUUAGAUACCCUUGUAGUC
rnacentral:rRNA from 1 species